rnacentral:rRNA from 1 species
UACGUAUGGGGCAAGCGUUAUCCGGAUUUACUGGGUGUAAAGGGAGCGUAGGCGGCGGGGCAAGCCUGAUGUGAAAGCCCGGGGCUCAACCCCGGGACUGCAUCGGGAACUGCCCUGCUGGAGUGCCGGAGGGGCAGGCGGAAUUCCUAGUGUAGCGGUGAAAUGCGUAGAUAUUAGGAGGAACACCAGUGGCGAAGGCGGCCUGCUGGACGGUGACUGACGCUGAGGCUCGAAAGCGUGGGGAGCAAACAGG